UACAGAGGGUGCGAGCGUUGUUCGGAAUUAUUGGGCGUAAAGCGCACGUAGGCGGCUUUGUAAGUUAGAGGUGAAAGCCUGGAGCUCAACUCCAGAAUUGCCUUUGAUACUGCAUGGCUUGAAUCCAGGAGAGGUGAGUGGAAUUCCGAGUGUAGAGGUGAAAUUCGUAGAUAUUCGGAAGAACACCAGUGGCGAAGGCGGCUCACUGGACUGGUAUUGACGCUGAGGUGCGAAAGCGUGGGGAGCAAACAGG
rnacentral:rRNA from 1 species